rnacentral:rRNA from 1 species
AUUGAACGCUGGCGGCAUGCCUUACACAUGCAAGUCGAACGGUAACGGGCCUUCGGGUGCCGACGAGUGGCGAACGGGUGAGUAAUACAUCGGAACGUGCCCGAUCGUGGGGGAUAACGAGGCGAAAGCUUUGCUAAUACCGCAUACGAUCUACGGAUGAAAGCAGGGGACCGCAAGGCCUUGCGCGGACGGAGCGGCCGAUGGGAGAUUAGGUAGUUGGUGGGAUAAAAGCUUACCAAGCCGACGAUCUGUAGCUGGUCUGAGAGGAUGAUCAGCCACACUGGGACUGAGACACGGCCCAGACUCCUACGGGAGGCAGCAGUGGGGAAUUUUGGACAAUGGGCGCAAGCCUGAUCCAGCCAUGCCGCGUGCAGGAUGAAGGUCUUCGGGUUGUAAACUGCUUUUGUACGGAACGAAAAGCCUUCUUUUAAUACAGGAGGGUCAUGACGGUACCGUAAGAAUAAGCACCGGCUAACUACGUG